rnacentral:rRNA from 1 species
CCUACGGGAGGCAGCAGUGGGGAAUUUUCCGCAAUGGGCGAAAGCCUGACGGAGCAACGCCGCGUGAGGGAUGAAGGCCUCUGGGCUGUAAACCUCUUUUAUCAAGGAAGAAGAUCUGACGGUACUUGAUGAAUAAGCCACGGCUAAUUCCGUGCCAGCAGCCGCGGUAAUACGGGAGUGGCAAGCGUUAUCCGGAAUUAUUGGGCGUAAAGCGUCCGCAGGCGGUCUUGUAAGUCUGUCGUUAAAGCGUGGAGCUCAACUCCAUUUCGGCGGUGGAAACUACAAGACUAGAGUGUGGUAGGGGCAGAGGGAAUUCCCGGUGUAGCGGUGAAAUGCGUAGAUAUCGGGAAGAACACCAGUGGCGAAGGCGCUCUGCUGGGCCAUAACUGACGCUCAUGGACGAAAGCUAGGGGAGCGAAAGGGAUUAGAUACCCCUGUAGUCCUAGCCGUAAACGAUGAACACUAGGUGUCGGGGGAAGUCGACCCCCUCCGGUGUCGUAGCUAACGCGUUAAGUGUUCCGCCUGGGGAGUACGCACGCAAGUGUGAAACUCAAAUGAAUUGACGG